ensembl:snoRNA
UUUGGUUGAAAAUCACCCAUAGCUUUGCCCAUGGCCAUGGGUGAGAUUCGGUGCCUAGAGCCAGUGAGGCCUCAGGUCACCUGCUCACUCUUGAUAUGGGGAGGUGAAACACAGGCUCAACAUGC